UGAGGAAUUUUGCGCAAUGGCCGCAAGGCUGACGCAGCAACGCCGCGUGGGUGAAGAAGGCCUUCGGGUCGUAAAACCCUGUCGUCAGGGACGAAGGUUGUAUGCCUAACAGGUGUGCAGCUUGACGGUACCGCCAGAAGAAGCACCGGCUAACUCCGUGCCAGCAGCCGCGGUAAUACGGAGGGUGCAAGCGUUAUUCGGAAUUACUGGGCGUAAAGGGCGUGCAGGCGGGAGAGCAAGUCUGAUGUGAAAGCCCGGGGCUUAACCCCGGAAGGGCAUUGGAAACUGCUGUUCUUGAGUUCUGGAGAGGAAGGGAGAAUUCCCGGUGUAGAGGUGAAAUUCGUAGAGAUCGGGAGGAACAUCAGUGGCGAAGGCGACCUUCUGGACAGCAACUGACGCUGAGACGCGAAAGCGUGGGGAGCAAACA
rnacentral:rRNA from 1 species